ACAAAAAGCAAAGACUCCUCUUGAUUGGUGGAAUGCUUUUGGUGGACUUAGCAUUGAGCUUCAAACACUAGCAAUGCGCAUCACAAGCCUUUGUUGUUCAUCUUCCGGUUGUGAGCGCAAUUGGAGCACAUUUGAAUUUAUCCAUACAAAGAAAAGAAACCGCUUAGAGCAUAAAAGAUUGAACGACUUGGUCUAUGUUCAAUACAAUCGCAAAAUUGCAAGUAGGUUUCAAAAGAUGCGUGAA